AUGUCCCGUUAUCGAGGACCUCGUUUAAAAAAAAUACGCCGUCUGGGAGCUUUACCAGGACUCACUAGAAAAACACCUAAAUCCGGAAGUAAUCUUAAAAAAUUCAAUUCUGGGAAAAAGGAGCAAUAUCGUAUUCGUCUUCAAGAAAAACAGAAAUUGCGUUUUCAUUAUGGUCUGACAGAACGACAAUUACUUAGAUAUGUACAUAUCGCUGGAAAAGCAAAAAGGUCAACAGGCCAGGUUUUACUACAAUUACUUGAAAUGCGUUUGGAUAAUAUCCUUUUUCGAUUGGGUAUGGCUUCAACCAUUCCUGGGGCCCGCCAAUUAGUCAACCAUAGACAUAUUUUAGUUAAUGGUCGUAUAGUCAUACCAAGUUUUCGUUGCAAACCCAGAGAUAUUAUUACUACGAAAGAUAACCAAAGAUCAAAAGGUCUGGUUCAAAAUUAUAUUGCUUCAUCGGACCCGGGGAAAUUGCCAAAGCAUUUGGCGAUUGACACGUUGGAAUAUAAAGGACUAGUAAAUAAAAUCCUAGAUAGGAAGUGGGUCGGUCUCAAAAUAAAUGAGUUGUUAGUUGUAGAAUAUUACUCUCGUCAGACUUGA
rnacentral:rRNA from 1 species